UGAGUAACACGUAUCCAACCUGCCGUCUACUCUUGGACAGCCUUCUGAAAGGAAGAUUAAUACAAGAUGGCAUCAUGAGUCCGCAUGUUCACAUGAUUAAAGGUAUUCCGGUAGACGAUGGGGAUGCGUUCCAUUAGAUAGUAGGCGGGGUAACGGCCACCUAGUCUUCGAUGGAUAGGGGUUCUGAGAGGAAGGUCCCCCACAUCGGAACUGAGACACGGUCCAA
rnacentral:rRNA from 1 species